GAUAUUGCGCAAUAGGGGGAACCCUGACGCAGCGACGCCGCGUGAGCGAAGAAGGUUUUCGGAUCGUAAAGCCCUGUCUUUGGGGAAGAAAUAAAUGACGGUACGCAAGGAGGCAGCCCCGGCUAACUACGUGCCAGCAGCCGCGGUAAUACGUAGGGGGCAAGCGUUGUCCGGAAUUACUGGGCGUAAAGGGUGCGUAGGCGGCAAGUUAAGUCAGGUGUGAAAUACCACGGCUCAACCGUGGUUUUGCACAUGAAACUGGCUGGCUAGAGUGCAGGAGAGGAAAGUGGAAUUCCUAGUGUAGCGGUGAAAUGCGUAGAGAUUAGGAGGAACACCAGUGGCGAAGGCGACUUUCUGGACUGUAACUGACGCUGAGGCACGAAAGCGUGGGGAUCAAACAGG
rnacentral:rRNA from 1 species